UUUUUCCUAAUACUAUUAUCAACAUCCGCAAUAAACCAAAAUAAUAGUAGCUCAAGGUCUGCACUAAAAACACAAAUUGUAUUUGGCUACUUAGAAUUUCGUGCAGCAGAAUAACCUUUGACAGCACCAUUCCCCCAUACCAGCCACACCAAGAAUAAAGACAGCAGCAAUGCGUUAGUCCUUUGUGCAUGAUCUCCACAAGCU
rnacentral:lncRNA from 1 species